GGAGGGACACCCAGAGAACAUGGUAUUGCUAAGGAGGUGUAAGGCUAAACAAGGACUAGUCCUCUGCAUAUAAAAGCGACCAGAGUGGUGUAAGCAGCCCUGUUAUCUGGAAACCUCCCCACUUUUAGCCAGUGACAAUAACAUCAUUUUCCUGGGAGGGGAGGCAGGAGGAGGACCAUCCCCACCAAAUACUGUAGGUGGGUAUACAAUGGACUGGUCUCCUGACAAGUGAGGGGUGGCAUCGGUGGUUAGCUCUGUAAUUGCCCGGCAGAGAGGAACAGAGAAGUGUUCCUGCAGAGGGCCGUGUUCAGUGACGUGAACAACGACGCAUUCAUCUCUGGCAGCCCAGGGCUUCCAGGAAGGGAAGGGAUCUCCUCAGGAUCCAAGGCCAGUCUUUGGCUGGGGCCCUUGAGGAGGUGACUUCAGUGGGGACAGUGCCUUGCUGAAGCCUCAAGGUGGGAACCAGCGAUCCCUGGUGCCACCUCACUUCUUCAGAGGGCAGAGGACAGAGAAGCCUGGAAAUCAGGCAGAGGACCAGGCGCCUGGAUGCCGAUGGACUGGCCAACCGAAGUAAGUUUCAUGGGAGAAGAGGAAACUUCAGACCUUGCAUUUCAAGGAAACUUCAGACCGUACAAUCUCACAACAAUGAAGAGAACAGAAGGGGCACCUUCAAUGGAAAAGAUACUCAGGGCCAGAGUCUUCAAACUGAGAGCCAGACCUCUUACAGAAGCCUGUCCACAAAUGUCCUCAAGUCCAUGAAGAUUUAAUCACUGGCUGCUCUGUAUGAAUGAGCCCACAUGUGACUCCAUUGUGGUACAUUUCACAAAGCGUUGUCACCAUGUCAUUGUAGAUACUCUGUCUCCUCUACUGGUUGGUGAAUGCUUGAAGGAAAAGACCAAGCAUGGCACACUCAUCACUGAAUCCCGGUACCUAGCACAGCUGCAACGUAACUAUGUGGAAGACAGUCAGAGACAGAGGGAGAUUCUGAGUCUUCUGCCCCAUGGUUCUUCCCCUUCAUUUUUGG